AUACGGAGGGGGCAAGCGUUGUUCGGAAUUACUGGGCGUAAAGGGCGCGCAGGCGGUUUCGUUAGUCAGGCGUGAAAUCCCCGGGCUCAACCCGGGAACUGCGUUUGAUACUGCGGAACUAGAGAUCGGGAGAGGGUAGUGGAAUUCCCAGUGUAGAGGUGAAAUUCGUAGAUAUUGGGAAGAACACCAGUGGCGAAGGCGGCUACCUGGACCGAUACUGACGCUGAGGCGCGAAAGCGUGGGGAGCAAACAGGAUUAGAAACCCCAGUAGUCC
rnacentral:rRNA from 1 species